UACAGAGGGGGCAAGCGUUGUUCGGAUUCAUUGGGCGUAAAGGGCGCGUAGGCGGCAAUUCAAGUCAGCUGUGAAAUCUCCGGGCUUAACUCGGAACGGUCAGCUGAUACUGCUUUGCUAGAGUGCAGAAGGGGCAAUCGGAAUUCUUGGUGUAGCGGUGAAAUGCGUAGAUAUCAAGAGGAACACCUGAGGUGAAGACGGGUUGCUGGGCUGACACUGACGCUGAGGCGCGAAAGCUAGGGUAGCAAACAGG
rnacentral:rRNA from 1 species